AAGGGCGAAGCAGUUACAGUGUAUGAAUAACAUAAAUAUGAGCGAAAAUAGGAAAUAAUAAUAAGGUUUGUUAAGGUUUAAGAAAAGGUUUAUGGUUUAGAGGAAACAACACGGUUAAAGUUUUAGGUUUGAAAUUUAGAGUUUGUGGCGAAAUUGUCAGGGUUUAGGAAAAAUCAGGGUAGUUAGUUAUGAAAAAAAUGUGCAGAUCUAAAUAUAUGUAUAUAAAAAAAAAAUGAAUUAAAAAAAAACAACGGCGUUGCUAGCGCAAAAUUGCGAUCAUCGCAACUGGAUCGGAUAACACAAAUGUC
rnacentral:lncRNA from 1 species